rnacentral:misc_RNA from 1 species
GUCGGACAUGUUUUCUCUGCCAUUGCGCUUUGCGCAGUCCACGUUUUGUGUCAAUGGGAGAGGUCAAUGGUUUAUAAUUUGCGAGCUAGUUUUUGAUAAUUGUCUGACGAAUUUGAGUAAAUAGAAAAAAUUUUUUCAUACUGGUGAAAAAAGCAUUUAAUUGUCCCCUUAGCCAAAUAGGGACGGGUGCAUCGAGGAAAAGAAGAAAAAAGCAUCUUUAAGCAAUUCAUAAAAACAACAUCAAUCUGAGAUACAAGGAACAUGGGGAAACAUGAAGUAGGUACCCCAAAAUAUAUUGCCAACAAGAUCAAGGCAAAAGGCUUGCAAAAGUUAAGGUGGUACUGUCAGAUGUGUCAAAAGCAAUGCCGGGAUGAAAAUGGAUUUAAAUGUCACACCAUGUCGGAGUCGCACCAUCGUCAACUUUUGCUGUUUGCUGAAAACGCGCACCGGUACAUGGAUCAGUUUUCUAGAGAUUUUUCACAGGGAUAUCUAAAUUUAUUGAAGAGGCAAUUUGGCACUAGACGAGUGCCGGCGAAUCGAGUGUACCAGGAAUACAUUUCUGACAGAGGACAUAUACACAUGAAUGCAACUCAGUGGCUUACUUUGACAGCAUUUGCAAAAUGGCUUGGACGUACUGGACAGUGCGUUGUCGAUGAAACUGAAAAAGGUUUGUUUAUAACAUACAUCGAUAGAGACCCUGAGACACUCGCUGCACAGGAAAAAAAAGCAAAGAAAGAAAAAAUGGACAAAGAUGAUGAGGAGCGACUUAUGGAUUUCAUUGACAAGCAAAUAGAAAAGGCAAAACAAAGUACAAAUGAAGAGGAAGGUGAAACGUCUAAGACACCACUGGUGCGCCCUGAGAACGAUACACCUUUGGUUCUCGACAUAAAAUUAAAACCAAAGCCCAAGUUACUUCCUGUAUUUCAAAUAAAACAGGAAAAGGUAAAAAGUGAAGAUCAAAACAAAUCAGUUUCAAGCAAAUUAAUUAGUGAAAAAGAUGAAAAACCAAAAAGAUCCAGUAAUGAUGAUGAAACAAAGUCUGUUAAGAAGUUAAAAAAUGAUAAUUCUCCUGCAACUGAAGGCUGGCUUAGGGAAGGUUUAAUGGUCAAAAUAACCACGAAGAGUCUAGGUGAAAAAUAUUAUAAAGCUAAAGGUGUCGUUCAAUCAGUUGGAACAGACAGUUUUGUUGGUAAAGUAAAAUUGAAAACACCGGAUGAAGUUAACGGACAUGUUAUACGGUUAGAUCAAGAAUACUUGGAAACAGUAAUUCCCGCGAUAGAUAAAGAAGUUCUGAUUCUUUGGGGAAAGCAUAAAGGUGCGAGAGCAAUAGUUAAGAAAUUGCAUAUAGAGCAUUAUAGUGUAGAUGUCGAACUAAAAAAUAAUAAGAAAAUUGUGCAGAAACUUCCAUAUGAACAAGUGUGCAAGUAUAUAGAUUGAGAAAUAAUUGUGUGUGGAGAAAAAGUAUUAGAAAAAAGAUACUGUAUAUUAGUAUUAGUGGUAACAUUCUAUAAUAUAGAUAAUUGCAUUAUCCCGAAGAGCACCUGUGUACAAAUUUAACAGCUGAAUAAGAAGUAUCAACCUUGUACAUAAGGACUUAUUCGUGCAAACUUGUAUAACCACAUAAUAUCACUUAUCCGAGGCAAACUGUACUAGUAAUGAGACCUAAUAUGAUAGUAAUGAGACCAUCUAAUAUGAUAGCCUGAAGUGGUUACUAAGUUGAUAAAUGACUGCUCUUUAUACAAGCUGAAUCAGAAAUUAUAUUUAGACGAAAAUCUGAUCGACACAAAAUGGAAACCUUGCCCAGAAUGUAAGUCAUUCUUGUAAAUUGCACCAACAAUCCUGUAACAUCAAAAAUAUAUAUAAAUAAUUAACAAAGGA